rnacentral:rRNA from 1 species
UAUUGCACAAUGGGCGGAAGCCUGAUGCAGCGACGCCGCGUGAGGGAUGACGGCCUUCGGGUUGUAAACCCCUUUCAGUCGGGACGAAGCUUCGCCGGUGAAUAGCCGGCUGGAGUGACGGUACCUUCACAAGAAGCCCCGGCUAACUACGUGCCAGCAGCCGCGGUAAUACGUAGGGUGCGAGCGUUGUCCGGAAUUAUUGGGCGUAAAGAGCUCGUAGGCGGUUUGUCGCGUCGGCCGUGAAAACUUGGGGCUUAACUCCAAGCUUGCGGUCGAUACGGGCAGACUUGAGUUCGGCAGGGGAGACUGGAAUUCCUGGUGUAGCGGUGAAAUGCGCAGAUAUCAGGAGGAACACCGGUGGCGAAGGCGGGUCUCUGGGCCGAUACUGACGCUGAGGAGCGAAAGCGUGGGGAGCGAAC